AGGUGCCACUGUCCCAGGGUUCAUUUUUUUUUUAUGCAAUUGUUUUCAUAGCAACUGUUAUGGGAUCUUCCAUAGUUUAAUGAUCUAAGGUGGGAAGUAUUUACCACUCUCCUGAACUGUGCUAUAGUCUCUGAGAGACCACAAGUACUUUGUCUCCCUUAGAACUAAAUCUGCUUACUCCUGUGGCAAAUGGUUGUGUGUUAGUUCUUCUCCUUGCCUUGGAACUGCAACCCAUGGUUGUUACCCAGAUCUGUGUAUGGGCAAUGCAACAGAGUCCUGCAACCUCUCUAAUCUCCUUGGAUGACUUAUCUGACCCCUUUACAAUGUAAGGGCUGAAAGCUCCAAAUGUUGCUGCUGAUGAUUCAUUUGCCCCCAAGGCUGGUAACUGGCUUAUAGAGGGAAGACCUGCCCUGGUGCAUCCUGCAGUGAACUAUACUCCACUCUCAUAUCAGUCUUUUUGUGAAAAAAAGGAAGAAAAGGGAAAAGAAGAGGAAGAACAGGAAGGAGGAGGAGAAAAGCAAGAACAAGAAGGAAGAGUAAUAGUUUUCGUUUGCACUCAGACUCAAUAG
rnacentral:lncRNA from 1 species